rnacentral:rRNA from 1 species
CAGUAGCCGCGGGAAUACGGAGGGUGCAAGCGUUAUCCGGAUUUAUUGGGUUUAAAGGGUCCGUAGGCGGAUCUGUAAGUCAGUGGUGAAAUCUCACAGCUUAACUGUGAAACUGCCAUUGAUACUGCAGGUCUUGAGUAAAUUUGAAGUGGCUGGAAUAAGUAGUGUAGCGGUGAAAUGCAUAGAUAUUACUUAGAACACCAAUUGCGAAGGCAGGUCACUAAGAUUUAACUGACGCUGAUGGACGAAAGCGUGGGGAGCGAACAGGAUUAGAGACCCCAGUAGUCCCUGUCUCUUAUAC